rnacentral:rRNA from 1 species
UACGAAGGGUGCAAGCGUUAAUCGGAAUUACUGGGCGUAAAGGGCGCGUAGGCGGGAUGGCAAGUCGGUCGUGAAAUCCCUCGGCUCAACCGAGGAACGUCGAUCGAUACUGCUGUUCUUGAGGAUUGCAGAGGAGACUGGAAUUCCCGGUGUAGCGGUGAAAUGUGUAGAGAUCGGGAGGAACACCCGUGGCGAAGGCGGCUCUCUGGGACGGUACUGACGCUGAGACGCGAAAGCGUGGGGAGCGAACAGG